rnacentral:rRNA from 1 species
AGAGUUUGAUCCUGGCUCAGAUUGAACGCUGGCGGCAUGCUUUACACAUGCAAGUCGAACGGUAACAGGUCUUCGGAUGCUGACGAGUGGCGAACGGGUGAGUAAUACAUCGGAACGUGCCUAGUAGUGGGGGAUAACUACUCGAAAGAGUAGCUAAUACCGCAUGAGAUCUACGGAUGAAAGCAGGGGACCUUCGGGCCUUGUGCUACUAGAGCGGCUGAUGGCAGAUUAGGUAGUUGGUGGGGUAAAGGCUUACCAAGCCUGCGAUCUGUAGCUGGUCUGAGAGGACGACCAGCCACACUGGGACUGAGACACGGCCCAGACUCCUACGGGAGGCAGCAGUGGGGAAUUUUGGACAAUGGGCGAAAGCCUGAUCCAGCAAUGCCGCGUGCAGGAUGAAGGCCCUCGGGUUGUAAACUGCUUUUGUACGGAACGAAAAGCCUGGGGCUAAUAUCCCCGGGUCAUGACGGUACCGUAAGAAUAAGCACCGGCUAACUCUGUGCCAGCAGCCGCGGUAAUACAGAGGGUGCGAGCGUUAAUCGGAUUUACUGGGCGUAAAGCGUGCGUAGGCGGCUUUUUAAGUCGGAUGUGAAAUCCCCG